UACGAAGGGGGCUAGCGUUGCUCGGAAUCACUGGGCGUAAAGCGCACGUAGGCGGCUUUUUAAGUCAGGGGUGAAAUCCUGGAGCUCAACUCCAGAACUGCCUUUGAUACUGAGAAGCUUGAGUCCGGGAGAGGUGAGUGGAACUGCGAGUGUAGAGGUGAAAUUCGUAGAUAUUCGCAAGAACACCAGUGGCGAAGGCGGCUCACUGGCCCGGUACUGACGCUGAGGUACGAAAGCGUGGGGAGCAAACAGG
rnacentral:rRNA from 1 species